rnacentral:rRNA from 1 species
UGAGGAAUAUUGGUCAAUGGGCGAGAGCCUGAACCAGCCAAGUAGCGUGCAGGAUGACGGCCCUAUGGGUUGUAAACUGCUUUUAUGUGGGGAUAAAGUGCGUGACGUGUCAUGCAUUGCAGGUACCACAUGAAUACGGACCGGCUAAUUCCGUGCCAGCAGCCGCGGUAAUACGGAAGGUCCGGGCGUUAUCCGGAUUUAUUGGGUUUAAAGGGAGCGUAGGCUGUCUAUUAAGCGUGUUGUGAAAUUUACCGGCUCAACCGGUGGCUUGCAGCGCGAACUGGUCGACUUGAGUAUGCAGGAAGUAGGCGGAAUUCAUGGUGUAGCGGUGAAAUGCUUAGAUAUCAUGACGAACUCCGAUUGCGCAGGCAGCUUACUGUGGCAUAACUGACGCUGAUGCUCGAAAGUGCGGGUAUCAAACAGG